rnacentral:rRNA from 1 species
UACGUAGGGUGCAAGCGUUAAUCGGAAUUACUGGGCGUAAAGCGUGCGCAGGCGGUUUUGUAAGUCUGAUGUGAAAUCCCCGGGCUCAACCUGGGAAUUGCAUUGGAGACUGCAAGGCUGGAGUCUGGCAGAGGGGGGGUAGAAUUCCACGUGUAGCAGUGAAAUGCGUAGAGAUGUGGAGGAAUACCGAUGGCGAAGGCAGCCCCCUGGGAUAACACUGACGCUCAUGCACGAAAGCGUGGGGAGCAAACAGG